GAUCACUGUUACUCAACAUUUGAAUGCCAGAGAUGAUCAUCCAUAUGCUUCAGGUGCCAAGUGGAAGAAGGACCUGCUAAGAUGACCUGGUGUCCUUCCACUGUGCUCAUCAGGGGCUGAGCUCUACAUUCAUCCAGAUUUCAGCAUUGCUCUUCACCCCUUCACCACCAUUAGUGUCGACUCCAUGGAGGGAUCUUCCUUUUCAUAUCAUGCAUUUCUCUUCAACUUUACAAAUAAUCACAUCUCCAUGUGCUAGAAUCGCCAAAGACUAUAUAGUUUCAACUUAUGCACAUUGUCACAUUUCUUUGAUCACUUUUAAACCUGUAGUCAAUCAUUUAAGCAAUAAAUAAGCAUUUGGUGUA